CCCUACACCGAUGGCCCCGGCCUCCGUUGCCAUGGCUGCCCUUUAGUUUGGGGUAAACAGGGCUCUUCUUCCUCCUCCUGUCCAGCUUACUGACACGCAAUUGUCUCUCCAGGGUUGGGCUGGAAUUCCAAGUGUGCAGGUACCCCCCGCCCCCAUCUUGGGAAGGCACAAGGUGAUGGCUAACUAAAAGAAGAAAAAUGUCUUUGGACCAUUACUUCUGGGUUAUCCACAUGACCGCUUCCCUCGAUGGAGCGCUGGAAAGAGCUUGCUCAGGCUGCGGACCGACUCCAGACUCAAGAGUCCUCCUACGGCCCCAGCUGCCACUUCCUCUAGUGGCCCUCUGCCCUUCUGAGCCAGCCGGCGCUCUCUCCCCCCUGGGCACCUACUACCGUGGGUUGGGCAGGCACGUUGGAGGACACGAAGACUCGAGAGACGCUGUUCCAUCCUGCAAGGCGGAGACCAGGACUUAAAUUCUUACAAGGCCACUGUGUCAAAGUGGGUGUCAGCACAAAUUCCUGACUAGGACAGGGGUGGGGGAAGCUGCUGGAGGGAGGCUUUAGGAAAGGCAGGGGGACAAGCACAGAGCGGUGGCCAGGGUCCAGAUAACACUGACUGACCCACCGCUGCCAGGCCCCAGUCCCCUAUCUCGUGUUCACCUCAGCCCUCUUGGGGGGCUGCCAUUAUCUGCAUUUUCAGGUGAGGAAAAGGAACAUUCGGAGAGACUUAAGUCACUUGCCCAACUUCACACACUUAGGAAGUGGCUCCCCAAUUCUUACUGCAUUCACUCUCCUGUGGCUUGCCAUCACCCCUGGCUGUGGGGCAGGGGCACAUGCGUGGGGACGGUCGCAGCAGUGAGGAAUCCGUGGAGUUCAGAUUCCAGUUCUUUUCCUCACAGCUGUGUGGACUUGGGCCCCUUUCCUUCCUUGCCUGACAGGGAGGGUUUUUAUGAGUUUAAAGGAGGUGAAGUGCGCGGUGCACACAGUAGGCCCUCAGGACACACCCCUCUGAUGCUCGCGCCCCCUUGGCCUUCUGCUUGAACCCAUCCUCACACAGAGCAAGCCACAACUUCCCAGAUGACGAUGCAGAGUCCACUUGCACAAGGCUCAACUUUUGGAAAGUCUUAGCUCGCAGUGAGAAGUCUCUCCCUGGGGCUCCUUCCUGCUGAUUCUAGCCAUCUCCCCUGGGCCGUGCAGAUGAAUGUCCCCCCUUUCUCCUGGCAGUCCAGCCUCUUCGCCAGGACUCACCCUCCUCGGUCCUGUGGUUGUGUGUCUGCCUCGCGGGGUUCCCAUUCUCCCCCGUCUCAGGCAUCUCCUUGCAUUGGCUUCCAUGUGUCCAGGCCCCCCUCAGAGUCAGACAAGAGUCAGGCCCUGUUCUCCAGGCACGUCACGAUCAGCGGGGAGAAAAUGGGCUCUCCCAAGCUUGCGUCUGCUGCUGAGGACCGUGGAGGGUUUCGUGGCAGCCUCAUCAUGCUGUGCCCUCAGGGAAGGUGUGUGCUUGUGUGCCCGUGGGAUGAACAGAGGUUGCUCCGGGGAGGGUCUGCACAUUCACUCUGCGACACCCACUCUGGGCUGGUGCCCGCCAGGCAGAGGCUGGCACGGAGGUAAGAACCAGACACAGACGCUAGAGGACCCCGCCCUGUCUGCCAGGAGCUGUGGUCUCAUGCUGGUGGGCUGAACACGAUGGCAGGGGGGCGAGGUCCAGCGGCUGUGGCAAAUGCACGCACCCAUCUGGCCGGAGCAGAAAGGGCUGGGGGGAAGCAGGGAGCUGUCGGAAGUGCAUCUGAGUCACCUCCUUGCUUCCCUUCACCUUGAACUCAGCCCUGCAAUCAACUGCCACAUCCUGUUGGUUCUUCCUUCUUACCGUAGCUCGAUUCCAUGCCUGCCUUCCCACCCCACUGCUCCUACCACACCACACGCCUCCUCAUGAGCGUUCUGCAAGAGCCGCUUCUCUCCUCUCCUGCCUCCAGUCUCACCUCUACCAUCUAACCUACGCAGCUCACUUCCUCUUCCUCAAGCUUUCACCUCCUGCUUUCACCAUGUCAUCUUCCUGCCACACACCUUCGUGGGACUCUGCAACCUACAGGAUAAACUGUCUUGCCUUUGAAACCCUCAGUCCCACCUGCCUCCUUACCCCCUAGUCUUUCUGCUCGUUCCAUGGGAUUCCUCUUCCGGUCCAGUGACUCCUCACAUUUCCAGGUCUUUUCAUCCAUAUUCUUUUGUGAAGACUCAGUCGAGCCCAAACCUAUUUUAUUAUUUUUCUUUUUUUUUUUAAGAUUUUAUUUAUUUAUU